UCUUGGUCAUUUAGAGGAAGUAAAAGUCGUAACAAGGUCUCCGUAGGUGAACCUGCGGAGGGAUCAUUACACAAUAUGAAAGCGGGCUGGCAUCCUUCGGGGUUACAGCCUUGCUGAAUUAUUCACCCGUGUCUUUUGCGUACUUCUUGUUUCCUUGGUGGGUUCGCCCACCAUAGGACAAACCAUAAACCUUUUGUAAUUGCAAUCAGCGUCAGUAAAAAAAUUAAUAAUUACAACUUUUAACAACGGAUCUCUUGGUUCUGGCAUCGAUGAAGAACGCAGCGAAAUGCGAUAAGUAGUGUGAAUUGCAGAAUUCAGUGAAUCAUCGAAUCUUUGAACGCACAUUGCGCCCUUUGGUAUUCCAAAGGGCAUGCCUGUUCGAGCGUCAUUUGUACCCUCAAGCUUUGCUUGGUGUUGGGCGUCUUGUCUCCAGUUCGCUGGAGACUCGCCUUAAAGUAAUUGGCAGCCGGCCUACUGGUUUCGGAGCGCAGCACAAGUCGCGCUCUCUUCCAGCCAAGGUCAGCAUCCACAAAGCCUUUUUUCAACUUUUGACCUCGGAUCAGGUAGGGAUACCCGCUGAACUUAAGCAUAUCAAUA
rnacentral:rRNA from 1 species